UACGUAGGGUGCAAGCGUUGUCCGGAAUUAUUGGGCGUAAAGGGCUCGUAGGCGGUCCAUCACGUCGGGAGUGAAAAGCUGGGGCUUAACCCCAGUCCUGCUUCCGAUACGGGUGGACUAGAGGUAGGCAGGGGAGAACGGAAUUCCUGGUGUAGCGGUGAAAUGCGCAGAUAUCAGGAGGAACACCGGUGGCGAAGGCAGCAAACUGGGCAUCAACUGACGCUGAGGCGCGAAAGCGUGGGUAGCAAACAGG
rnacentral:rRNA from 1 species